AGAGUUUGAUCCUGGCUCAGGAUGAACGCUGGCGGCGUGCUUAACACAUGCAAGUCGAACGAUCCUUCGGGAUAGUGGCGGACGGGUGAGUAACGCGUGGGAAUCUGCCCUCAGGAGGGGGAUAACGGCUGGAAACGGCCGCUAAUACCCCAUAUGCCGAGAGGUGAAAUGAAUUUCGCCUGAGGAUGAGCCCGCGUCUGAUUAGCUAGUUGGUGGGGUAAUGGCCUACCAAGGCAACGAUCAGUAGCUGGUCUGAGAGGAUGAUCAGCCACACUGGGACUGAGGCACGGCCCAGACUCCUACGGGAGGCAUCAGUGGGGAAUUUUCCGCAAUGGGCGAAAGCCUGACGGAGCAACGCCGCGUGAGGGAUGAAGGCCUCUGGGCUGUAAACCUCUUUUCUCAAGGAAGAAGACCUGACGGUACUUGAGGAAUAAGCCACGGCUAAUUCCGUGCCAGCAGCCGCGGUAAUACGGGAGUGGCAAGCGUUAUCCGGAAUUAUUGGGCGUAAAGCGUCCGCAGGCGGCCUUGUAAGUCUGUUGUUAAAGCGUGGAGCUCAACUCCAUUUAAGCAAUGGAAACUACAAGGCUGGAGUGUGGUAGGGGCAGAGGGAAUUCCCGGUGUAGCGGUGAAAUGCGUAGAUAUCGGGAAGAACACCAGUGGCGAAGGCGCUCUGCUGGGCCAUAACUGACGCUCAUGGACGAAAGCCAGGGGAGCGAAAGGGAUUAGAUACCCCUGUAGUCCUGGCCGUAAACGAUGAACACUAGGUGUCGGGGGAAUCGACCCCCUCGGUGUCGUAGCCAACGCGUUAAGUGUUCCGCCUGGGGAGUACGCACGCAAGUGUGAAACUCAAAGGAAUUGACAGGGGCCCGCACAAGCGGUGGAGUAUGUGGUUUAAUUCGAUGCAACGCGAAGAACCUUACCAGGGUUUGACAUCCUGCGAACCCCUGAGAAAUCGGGGGGUGCCUUCGGGAGCGCAGAGACAGGUGGUGCAUGGCUGUCGUCAGCUCGUGUCGUGAGAUGUUGGGUUAAGUCCCGCAACGAGCGCAACCCACGUCUUUAGUUGCCAGCAUUCAGUUGGGCACUCUAGAGAGACCGCCGGUGAUAAACCGGAGGAAGGUGUGGAUGACGUCGAGUCAUCAUGCCCCUUACAUCCUGGGCUACACACGUACUACAAUGCUACGGACAAAGGGCAGCAAGCUCGCGAGAGUUAGCAAAUCCCAUAAACCGUGGCUCAGUUCAGAUCGUAGGCUGCAACUCGCCUACGUGAAGGAGGAAUCGCUAGUAAUCGCAGGUCAGCAUACUGCGGUGAAUACGUUCCCGGGCCUUGUACACACCGCCCGUCACACCAUGGAAGUUGGCCAUGCCCGAAGUCGUUACUCCAACCCUUGUGGAGGAGGACGCCGAAGGUGGGGCUGAUGACUGGGGUGAAGUCGAAACAAGGUA
rnacentral:rRNA from 1 species